AAAAGGUAUUGAAAACAACAACGUUCAAAAGAACAAUGUGGAUUUCAAUAGAAAGACUAUUUCCACCGACAAUCAGGAUUUCCGGUAUGACCACUGUUAUUUUGACGAUUUUUCUAUCGGUUCGUCGGUAAGCGUGACCACAUGUGACAACAGCGAUGCUAGUUGGAUAUAAAAUUGGUAGACGUGUCGUUGAACUCGACACAUUGACCGAAUCGCUUUUAGCAUGCAGUGCUUGUCAAGUGCCCAUGAAUUUACUUAACACUGUAGAAAGCAUGGAUUUCGACAGGCAUGUGUUUUGGACAUACAGUUUAGCAAUUGUGGUGCAGUGAAUAAUGCGGCUACUGGACGGAAACAUGGCAGAGUUUAUGACAUGAUCACAAAGCUUGCAUUUGGGUAAAUCAAAAACUGGGUGUUUCACCUGGGACUUUCACAUCGAAACUGGCCCUUCUCCAUGACCUUCAGCACAAAAAAAGAAAGGCUAUAGCUGUUACUCGUGCAGCAAAACAGUGACGCAUAAGACUUAAAACUCGAACGGCAUUCAAAGGACAGUGCAAGAAGUACGAGCGGGACCAACAUGCAGUUCAAACAUAGAGGACCAAGACGUUGAAGUUACAACUAUACCCCCACCUAUACCCAAGCCUGGUCCAGCAGGGCUAGACACUACUGGGAAGGAAUUUGUUUUCUUUGAUUUGGAAACAAGAGGGUUAGAGCACACUUCUCACAUAAUUCAGAUAGCUGCAGUGCAUUCAACUGGUCAAUUUUCAACAUAUGUGAUUCAUGAAAAGAAGAUUUCCUUGCAAGCGUCAGUGACAGUUGUUAGCGACUCUAUGCUUGUCAAGAGACAAACAGUAACAGCUGUCCCCAUCAAAUCUGCAUUGACAAGUUUUAUAACAUUCUUACAGAAAUGUUCACCAAUUAUUUCAGUUGGGCAUAAUAUAGAGUCUUUUGAUUGUAAAGUGUUGCUCCGUGCUAUCCAUACUUGUUGAAAAAUGUUUGAGUUUCAGCAAAAUAUUUGUGGCUUUUUAGAUACUUAAAAAUGUUAAAAAUGUUAAAGGAAAUAUUACCAAAUAUGAAAUCAUAUAAGCAGGAACAUUUAGUUAAAGACGUCAUUGGUGAAUUAUACAUGGCACAUGGCGCUAUACAGGAUAUUUUAGCUUUACAAAAGUUAGUGAACUCUGUUCCUCUUGACCAAAAAUUGUUAACAAAUAUUCAUUCAGCUUUUACCAAGCAGUGUUAACAUACAAUGUGUAACUAAAUGUUGCUUCCAACAUCAAAUCUUUACAAACCAUAAUUGAUACAAAAGUUAUAAGUCAAGGUGUUGCAAGGAAAGUUGCAGGAAGUGGAUUUCAACUUAAACAUUUGAGUCCUGUAUCAAAAAGAAACGGACUGAGUGGUUUGAGGAGCCCCCUGUCAGAGGUUACAAACGGACAAAUCAGAGUAACAAAAUCAGAGAAAAUAAUAUGUACAAUAGCGAGUUAUUUGUUGCCUGACAUCUAACCAAUUGUAAUUUGCAUCUUGUAUAUAGAUAAGCUAUGAAAUCUAAUAGCUGUUACAUAAUUGUUUUUCCUUCUCGAUGACCAACAUAGUUGUGAUUCUUAUGUCAGUUGUAUUUCUCAUGUUUCACCUAAGUUGUAAGAUAUUUUUGGCAGUGCAUUAAACCACAGAUGGUGUGUGAAACAUAAUUGCCCAGCUUAUUGUAUUCUUUGUUGUUUUAAGCUUCACUGGCCAAAGGCCAGCGGGGCUUAUGUUAUGAUUCUGUGUCCGUCGUGUGUGCGUGCCUGAACGUU